CCGAUGGCUUGUUGCACCGAAAACAUACGCAUUUCGCAUACAGAAACAAGUGCACGCGUGUUAAAUGACACAACUUGCACACAGGAAAUGUGGAAUUUAAUUAUAUCCAUUUCACAUCUUCAAUAGCCAGUUGUGACGCUGAAACGGCAAAUAUCAAUUUGGUUUAGUAUGUAAAUCGAUCGACUGUACUGUGUUUCUAAUGCGAUAGUACCUACUCAUCAAAAUUGUGACAUUUACAACAACAAAAAGUUUGAGGAUUUAAAGUAAAGAGGAAUUGAUUUUUCGAAAGUCGAACAGUUCAGUGACAAUGCUAUGGUACGUUGUAUUAAUAGUGACGUGCCUAUUCUAUUAUUCGUCGCGUCGCCUGCGAUAUUUCUCGUCGAGGGGAAUCGCUACGCUUCCGACAACACCGUUUUUCGGGAAUCUGACAGCUGUCACGUUCGGUCGAGAAAACUUCGUGGAGGCAAUCGCUAAGGGAUAUGAUGCGUUCAAGGAUCAAAGAUAUUUCGGUCUGUAUCAAUACUUGGUGCCGACUCUCGUACCUCGGGAUCCUGAACUAAUCCGACAAAUCCUCGUGCGAGAUUUCAGCGCCUUUGCCGAUAGAGGAGUACACAUUGACGAAGAGUGCGACCCACUUUUCGGCCGGAACUUAAUAAUGCUCAGAGGUUCAAAAUGGCGAAGUAUGCGAGUGGCGCUUUCUCCGGCGUUCUCCGGAGCCCGAUGUCGUAACAUGGCACCGUUGAUGGUGGAAAGCGCUAAGUCUGUCACAAACCACCUCCAGAAAAAAAUAAUUGACGAAAAGGUCAUUGACAUUAAUAACAUAACUAUGAGCUACGUGAAUGACGUCAUAGCAUCAUGCGCCUUCGGCUUCGCGGUAGACUCUCUGAAGGAACCAGACAACUGCAUCUACAAGCUUGGUCAGAAAGCGAUAAUACAGGACACAACGCAAGUGAUGAAGUUCUUUGGCUACGAGAACAUUAAGACUGUUAUGAAGGGGUUGAAAGUGAAAAUCAUCGCGACUCAAGAGGCUGAACAAUUUGGUCUACUCUUCAAAUCGGCUCUGAAAGCUAGAAAGGAGAAACUGGUGGAGCCGAGACCGGACUUCAUACAAAUAUUAGUAGACGCAAUGCAAGGCAAAGGUGACGAUGACAACAUCUCUUCGAAUUCAACAAACGCAUUCACAGAUGACGACUUAGUGGCCCAAGCGGUUUUAUUCUACGUGGCGGGCUACGAUACGACAGCGAACUUAAUCAAUUACUUCCUCUACGAAAUGGCGGUGAAUCCUCAUGUGCAGGAGAAAUUAAACCAAGAAAUAGCAGAGAUGUCUGACGAAGGAGAUGUAUAUGAAGCGAUCCAAAGGCUAAAGUACCUCGAAAUGUGCGUUUGUGAGGUCCUACGACUCUGGCCGCUGGUGGGUUCCGCCGAUAGAAGAUCAGUAAUACCUUACGAUUUCGGCCCCACGUAUCCUGACAGCAAACACAGUCUGAUCGCUCCAGCGGGUAUCCACAUAUGGAUACCGAUAUAUUCCAUCCACCGCGACGAGCAGUACUGGCCCGAUCCCAACACUUGUAUUCCGGAGAGAUUCUCACCAGAGAACAAAGGAAGCAUAGUUCCUUACACUUACUUGCCAUUCGGGACUGGACCUAGGCAUUGCAUUGCCACGUACCAUCCGGCUUUGGAAUGAGCUCCCCUCCACGUUGCUUCCUGAAUGCUGUGACAUAUCCUUAUUCAAACGAGGCUUGUGAAGAGUACUUAACGGUAGGCAGCGGCUUAGCUCUGCCGCUGGCAUUACUGAAGUCCAUGGACGACAAUAACCACUCACCAUCAGGGUGGCUUUUCCUUCCACUAAGACCCACGUCUUGUUAUAGCUGACAAGUAACGGCUACUAUUCAUCAUUUAGUGUGCAUUGUGAAUAAACUAGUUACCAUAAUAAAAAUAAUACUAUCUAUAAAAAUACAAAAAGGAUUGGUUCUGUAGUCAUUAUUAUAUCCGACGUUGCGAAUACUGGAAGUUUUCGUGAUCACAGACAAUUAAGGUGCUUGCUAUUCGUCGAUAAUAUUCAAAUUCAGACGUCAAUAUUUAAAUUAAGCUAAGUACAGUAUAAUUUUAGAUUUUCUUUAAAUACCGAUUAAGAGAUUAAGCAGAGAUGUAGAAUGUAACCGAGAUGGAGGAACGGCGGUGUUUUUAGUGUUUUAGUGUGACGUCAGCAUUUCUGACAUUCUUGCAGAGUUCUCGAAGGUUCUAGAGGGUCUCGAAGGGUCUCGGAAAUUUGACGGAGUACCCCUAAUGUAUUGUGCGAUAAUAUUCAUUCGUACUUAUAGUAGAAAAGUGAGGUAGCUACGUCAUGAAAUCACUUGAAUACCUUCUUAAAAAAUUGUUUACAUUCGUAACAUUAUGGAAACAGUUAACUUUAACUAAUCAGUUAAAUUGAGUUGUAAAUAGUAACGUUGCGCCGAUAUACAUAUGUAUAGUAUUUUUUGGUUUUCAGGACGGACGACG